ACGCGUGAAGGGAGAGCGACGGGAGGAGGGCGGGAGUUGGCCCUGGCUCUGCGCCAGGGAUUGAAUCAGCCACAGGGACCGCCCUGCUUCGUUCUUUCGGGUCCGAAUCGGCUCAUUCUCUGGACCGGCGCAGCCCGCUGGUGUCUGCUCUGGAUGAUUUACUUUCUGCCCUGCUGAGAGGAUGUAGUGGUAAUGGAAGUAGAAUCCGGUCCGGUUGCCAAUUUCUCUAACCACAAAGCCGAGGUGGUGCAGUGAGUAGAGUGCAGUACUGCAGCC